rnacentral:rRNA from 1 species
GCUUUAUAGUGUAGCCUUUUAUUAUAAAUUUUAAAACAGUGUGACUUAAUUUAAGGUAAAACUCUUUUGUUGGGGCGACAAAAAUAUAACAAAUAACUGUUUUUGUGGAAAUAAAACAAGCAUAUUUGGUUUUAAAUUAAUGAUCCUUUAUUAAAGAUUAAAAGAUUAAGUU